rnacentral:lncRNA from 10 species
AUGGUAUGAAGAUCACUGCAUUCACGUUUACCACGUGUAUAUCACCAGAGUGUGACUUACUUUCCAUUCACUUGGCUCAGUCAGUGUGGGCAGAAAGCCACCCAGGUGCCGAGGAAAGAGACUGAAGGCAUAAGCUGCUCCAAUAUAAUAAAGAAAAUAGUUAGGAUAAAAGAAAGUUAUAUUAGACAUAGGAUAUAGAGAUUAUAUAUGGAUAUUAUCAAUUAUUAGUUUUUAGUAUUAAUGUUUGUUAUUUUAACUGAGGAAAAACCAGGCCAUACAGAGUCAGGAGCUGAAGGGACACUGUGAGAGGUGACCAGAAGACAAGAGUAUGAACCCUCUGUCACACCCAAAUAAGGGCUCCUUGAGGGCUCCUUGGUUUAGUGGUAGUGCCAGUGCCUGGGAAGGCACCCGUUAUUUAGCAGACCUUGGUCUAGCAGUAGUGCCAGUGCGUGGGAAGGCGGCACCCAUUACUUAGCAGACCAGGAAAGGGAGUUUCCCUUUCCUUGGGGGAGUUAGAGAACACUCUGCUCCACCAGCUCUUGUGGGAGGUCGAACAGUAGCCAGGCCUGCCCGUAGUCAUCUGGAGGCUUAAACGUCUCCCUGUGAUGCUGUGCUUCAGUGGUCAUGCUCCUUGUUCACUUUCACAUUCCGCCUGUACACCUGGCUCCUCCUUUUAAGUUCUUAGAAGAUAGCAGUAGCAGAAUUAGUAAAAGUACUAACGUCUUUGAUCUUUCUGAUAAGUGCAUAGAAAAAAUGCUGACGUAUGCUGUCCUCCCUCUCUGCUUUGGCUACCACAAAGGGAAAGGCUGCCUGUCACGUGGACAAGUGACUUGCUUGACCUUAUCAAUCACUUGGGAUGACUCACUCUCCUUACCCUGCCC